rnacentral:misc_RNA from 1 species
CAGAUGUCGCGCGUGUCGACGUUGCCUCGGGCGAACCCCUCGAGGCGAGUGUUGAAGCUCAUGUACUCGAGGAUGUUGCCGAGCGCGUUCGGCACGAACGCCGCUCCCUCGCCCAUGAACCAGAGGAACACGAGAACGAAAAACGUGAUGAAGAACGCAG